UGUGGGUGGCAAAGAGACAGACAAGACACACUACAGUGAGUCUUCCUCGCUCCAGCAUUACAGAGGGAAACAGGGAUGAAAACCAACCGGAGGAUGAUGGGGGUCGGGUGUGUUAAAAUCCAAACAUGGGACCUCAACUGUACUUAUUUACAUGUUUUUAGGAAUACCAAGUUACCUGGAAAGAUGGUUUAGAUUCUGACAAGUUUUCACUAAAUCAUACUUGGUUUGUAUUUUAAAGUCUAAAACAUGACCAGUCCUCAAACUGUAACUGAGAUCUACAUUCUGAAGAUGUGACUAUGGUCAGUUUGCUGGUCCAGUCACCUUAGCUAAUCAGACUGACCACUGAGGGAGCCUAGACACCUUGAGGGAAACAAAAAACCAAUAGAACUAUAGCCCCUCCCACUCCUCCUCCAACCAAAGUCAGAAUGCCCAUAAUUACCGCCAGGGCGUCGCCUGAUGAUGAGUUUUCUGACUUCGUCAUAUACGAAGAUGAGAAGAGAGUAGGGGAAGGCACAGAACCACCAGUCGGCCCACUGCACCACCACGAUACUGACGAAGAAGGCUGUGUGGCAGGUGAACUCCACGAUUUUCCUCUGCUCAUAGGUCUGAAAUGCAGAAGACAGAAGAUGAGCUCUGGCUCUUCACCUGCAUGGCUGGUGGCAGUGUGGCCUCAGUCUUCUGGGGCUUGAGGAGCUCUGACACUGGUCAGGUCAGAGGUGCCCACUCACCCACUGCUGCCCGUAGCUGUCUUCCACAUCGUUGAUCCAGCGGUCAUCCCAGUCCACUCGGAGGCCCAACAGGUGAAUUGGGAGGAAGCCGUUCUCAGCCAGAAUCACAAAGUGAAGUAUACAAAAAUAAAGAUUCCCAUCUGAUAAACAAAUGUUAACUGCUGCCUUGAAGAGUGGUAAUACUGAUUCUGUGAAGCCGGGAUUGGGACACACACUGGAUACUGGUCCUGAGAAUUUCUUUUCCCAACGCCAGCCUCAUGGAUGCUGGGAGCAUAGUGCCAGUGAAUGAAGACACAGCUCACACCUCACUACUAUCGAUCUGUGACUGUUGUGACACUCACCAUGUCAGUGCCCAAGUCAAUGCAGAGGAUGGUGACAGUCCCCAGUGGUAGUGGAAUGUUUGCAAUAAUAAAUAUCAGGAACGGGGUGAUCUCGGGAAUGUUA
rnacentral:lncRNA from 1 species